GACGAACGCUGGCGGCGUGCUUAACACAUGCAAGUCGAACGGAAAGGCCUCUUUCGGGGGGUACUCGCGUGGCGAACGGGUGAGUAACACGCGAGUAUCCUGCCCUUGACUUUGGGAUAACUUCUGAAAACUGGGGCUCAUACCGGGGAGAAGAUCUUCUGCCGUGGGGGGGGGGGGAGAGUGUCUGGGGUGGGGGAGGGGGUCUCGCCUUCUCAGGUUGUUGGGGGGGGAGUGGCUUACCCAGGGGUUGUCGCGGAUCGGGGCUGGGAGGGGGACCGGGCACAGUGGGAAUGGGAUACGGCCCAGACCCCUACGGGGGGGAGCAGUGGGGAAUAUUGCACAAUGGGUGGAAGCCUGAUGCAGCAACGCCCUGGGCGGGAUGACGGGCUUCGGGUUGGAAACCGCUUUCGCUCAUGACGAAGCUGUGUGUGACGGUAGUGGGUAAAGAAGCACCGGCUAACUACGUG
rnacentral:rRNA from 1 species